GACGAACGCUGGCGGCGUGCUUAACACAUGCAAGUCGAACGGAAAGGCCCUGCCUUUGUGGGGUGCUCGAGUGGCGAACGGGUGAGUAACACGUGAGUAACCUACCAUUGACUUUGGGAUAACUUCAGGAAACUGGGGCUAAUACCGGCUAGGAGCUCCUGCUGCAUGGUGGGGGUUGGAAAGUUUCGGCGGUUGGGGAUGGACUCGCCGCUUAUCAGCUUGGUGGUGGGGUAGUGGCUUAGCAAGGCUUUGACGGGUAGCCGGGCUGGGAGGGUGACCGGCCCAACUGAGAUUGAACUGCGACACAGACUACUAUGGGAGGGGGAGGUGCAGAAUAGUGUACUAUGGGCUGAAGCCAGAUGUAGUCAAGCCGCGUGGGGGGUGACGGGCAGCGGGUUGUGAUGCGAAGUCGCCUUUGCCGAAGCGUGAGUGACGGUAAUGGGAAAAUAAGCACCGGCUAACUACGUG
rnacentral:rRNA from 1 species